rnacentral:lncRNA from 1 species
UCCCUGACAGGCCACAGUAACGGUCACAGCACUGCUCCACUUCCUAUGACGGAUCCCGCGCAGCUCCAUCACUCCCUGACAGGCUGCAGUAACGGUCAUAGCACUGCUCCACUUCCUAUGACGGAUCCCGCGCAGCUCCACUACUCCCUGGCAGGCCACAAUAACGGCCACGAUCCUGCUCCACUUCCUACGAUGGAUGCCGCGUGAUUCUCCCAUCCGCUGGCAAGUCGCGACAACAGAUGCCGCUCCACUCCCCGCGGCAGACUCCACGUGGCACGCCCCGGUGAUAGCCACGGGUCCACUCCACUACUCUUCGCAGUAAACUCCGCCUGACCCUGGGCAGCCCACUGCCAGACGGUUACAGAUGUCGCUAUCAGGCUACUGCCCCC